AUGUUGCUCUCCAGGCUCCUGAAGGUGGUCAUGGCUUCAAUGUGGCUAGGUGGGGAGAGUCCCAGUGGGAAUGUAACUCAAGCCCAACCAGCAAAGUUGGUGCAGGAGAAGGGGGCUGUCACUCUGGAAUGCACAUAUAACACCAGUGAUCUAAGUUAUAGUCUAUGUGGUACAAGAAGCCCAGUAGUGGAGUGAUGAUAUUCCUUAUUCAUCAAGAUUCUUACAGCCAGCAAAAUGCCACAGAAGGUUGCUACUCAUUGGAUUUCCUGAAGACAAGAAAACCUAUCCAACUUGUCACCUUCGAUUCAGAGCUGGAGGACUCUGCAGUGUAUUUCUGUGCACUGAGGUAG